rnacentral:rRNA from 1 species
GAUGAACGCUGGCGGCGUGCCUAAUACAUGCAAGUCGAGCGAACAGACGAGGAGCUUGCUCCUCUGACGUUAGCGGCGGACGGGUGAGUAACACGUGGAUAACCUACCUAUAAGACUGGGAUAACUUCGGGAAACCGGAGCUAAUACCGGAUAAUAUAUUGAACCGCAUGGUUCAAUAGUGAAAGACGGUUUUGCUGUCACUUAUAGAUGGUUCCGCGCCGCAUUAGCUAGUUGGUAAGGUAACGGCUUACCAAGGCAACGAUGCGUAGCCGACCUGAGAGGGUGAUCGGCCACACUGGAACUUGGACACGGUCCAGACUCCUACGGGAGGCAGCAGUAGGGAAUCUUCCGCAAUGGGCGAAAGCCUGGCGGAGCAACGCCGCGUGAGUUAUGAAGGUCUUCGGAUCGUAAAACUCUGUUUUUAGGGAAGAACAAAUGUGUAAGUAACUAUGCACGUCUUGACGGUACCUAAUCAGAAAGCCACGGCUAACUACGUG